CACGCUAAAGAGAGGAAGAAGAUAAUCAAAAAGGGGGAAGGAGGGAGACACAAAGGUGGGUUAGAAAAGAGGACAAAAGGGAUAUGAUAUAUUAACCUUGGGGACAGAUAUUCAGAAGGGGGAUAAAAGAUACAAGGAGGUUAAUAGACCACAAAACGUGGGAUAAGGAUGCAAAAGUAUGAAAUGAAUGGCAAACAGGAUACAAUAUGUAAACGAAAUGGGAACAAAAAGGCGGUAAGAUGCACUAAAGGAUGGGGUAAGAGGGGCAAAAGGGGGGGUUAAUAUACAGACAGAUGAAGAUGGAUUUUGGGUGAUGCAAAAUGCAUCACCUGUGUAGACAAAAAUCCUUGCACCAGCCCCAGUUGGUUGGUGCUUUG